rnacentral:lncRNA from 1 species
AUCGACUUCCGGUCGAUUGAAUCAUUACGACUUCGUCGGUGCGCUACGUCUCAAUUAUUUCCAAACUUUUCCAGAUCAUGUUUAUACUCGGCGAAAACGUCGAGUGAAAUAUCUUCUUACCUCCGAUGUUGGUAACAUCGAUUUUUCAUCCCCUGAAACUGCUGCAUCUCAGCUCCGCGCGUCAAUCGAGAACUUAAACCCCCGGCUGCAAAAUUAACGUCUAGUAAAACGCGGCAGCGCAUAAAUGCAACGAAUCGAUAAUUAUUACUCCACGGGCAGCGUAUUUCGGUGCGAAGCACGUGUGCGGGUGCGAUGGUGGGUGUAACGUGUAACCGUGUGCGCCAUGAUAAUCCUGAGAAGAUUAACGAGGUGGACUCCUCUAGCUGCCUCAGCUCGCCCGCUGCUUCCAAGACGUAUAAGAGGUUAGCGGCGAGGGGUUGGGGGCUGAGAGGAGGAGAGGAAGAGAGGAAGAGAGUGUGUGGCGGCGUCCCGACGGUGUGCGGUGGCUGCGGUGGGCGCCCCUUGCCCGUUCCCUACAUUAACGCAAUUAUGAAUUUGUCGCUUUGGGAUCUGACAAUACAAGAUGUUGCGCUCCUCUUCCGCCGCCACCGGCUGCCUGUGCUCCUUGCGCGCAUAUUAAUGUCCCUCGUACACGAUGACUGCCUGCCUACCCUUGGUUCCUGGUUUGUAUACUUGGAAGUGAGAGAAAAAUUCCCGGUGGGAAUUGGGGCGAUCCCGUUUCACCACCGGGUGUAGUUUAAUGCCGAGGUGAUGCAGGGAAACAGGUAUUACAGAGUGUAUGCGUAUGACCGUCGAUGGCGAUAGAGAGGUCAGGACUAGGCCGAGGAAACGACGCCCGUAGCGUGGAAGGUGAAAUCCGAGGACUAGCCUAAAUACACCGGACGAUGGACCGCGGUCCUGGUAACACCGGGGCGAGUGGUCCGUGGGUGGUGAAGGGGUGAGGGCGAGUGCCUAGUCAGCCCUUAAUAUCAUAAGAGCUGCCGGACCCGCGCAAACAACCCCAGCAGACCUAACAUAACCUCUGGUUCACUUUGCUCGCAUCUAACGGCUGAUGAAUUUAGAUGGUAAACGUUUUAUUCGUAAGUGGAAAUAUUCCGGUCUUCCAAACCUACUAUCCUCAGCUUCGACUGGCAAGUCCUGCGAACCAAAGGAGGAGACAUCGUGCCGUCGAGGGGAAGGAGUCCCGUUCGAGGAACGAUCCACAAGUAGGCCUGGAAAUAUGCUCACCACGUUUUAUCCUUUCGGCAAAAAGAAGUCGACGGUUAAGGGAAAAGAAGAAACCACCCUCGUGGCUCUGCUCAACGGUGCCAAAAACUACCCCCGAAUCUCGCUCAAAGUACGUCUGACAUAAGAGAUUUUUCGCCCCUCGAUAUCUGGCCGGUCUCGCCAAUGCAGCGGACAAUAAGAAUCGAUAUCCUAAUUAGAAGGGGCUAUUCCGCGCGGUCGAGUCUGUAUCAAGGCCGGGUGUUGGCGAGGCGAAAAUCCGGACGGGGAUGCGGGCCGGAAGCAGGAGUCUGCGAUGCCGACCGGACCCGACCGUCCCACCGGAAACGCUAUUCACACGGCGACUCCCUACGCCGACGUUUUCCCGGGCUUCCCUUCUCGCUCCCUAUUUCACCGCCUACACGACCGGCCAUACUCAGAAUCCCCGCGUACGGCUUGCUAGCCUCCCUCGCGACUGCCACCGAUACGCAUCCCUGAAUAAACAAAGCUCGGCGAAAAAAAAAAAGUUGAGCAAAGUCGCUAAAAUAAUCAUACGCGUGGUUACCGCCGGCUAACGUCCACAGAGUAACGAACGUCCAAGUUAAUUACCACGCGUGGAAAUUCGCCGCGUUCUCCAACCCCCACCUCUUCCCAAAACGCUGAAGAUUUCUCUCGCUUUUUAUAUUUCUCUCCAAGUCGGUGCUCCGCGAUCUCGGUAUAAAAAAAUAACAUUGAAAAACAACGGUGAAAUGUAAUCAAACAAAGCAAAUAAUUACAAGUGUACCGUGCAAAGAAACCUUGACCAAAAGUUCGUUGCAGGGGAUGGUAAAGCUUCCAGAUUUCUGAUCGUACUGUACGGUCACCCUGUGUAGGUGUACAAUAGUGUACAUGCUUGAGUGAUCCGGUCUAUUCCCAUGUUUUAUAUCAAGCUGGAGUAAUUGCAGUGGUUUAUUUCAUUGCGAGCGAUAGGAACGCGGGGAAGCUGCAGUAGGAGUUGGUUGCGGGAUAAACCGAGAGAUGGAAUAGAGUUUAUUAGUCAAUAUAGAACGGUUAACGUCACAUCCCAUCAGCGGAUAGAGUGCCAUGAAUGCUGUGGAAAAAAUGUAUAUAAUAAUAAGAAGAGAAUAGAAGAGCAAGAGAGCUUCGUGCAGGCUCUGCACUCUAUGAGAUUAGUCAAGUCCAAAUCCCUGUUCUUUCCAAUUUACCCGGCAUUCGCCCCGGGCAAGGUUAUUUGUUCACGCCAAUAUUAAUUAAGAUAUUGGUCACCGUGGGCCUCCGCCUAAUGCUCCAACCUUCGGGAACAACGCUUCCGGGAUUAAACUCUCUCUCGUGCCUCUUCACCCAUUCCGCUGCACGCAGUGUGAGAAGAGGAUUUUUCCGCCUUGAUACCCUUUCUGGUACCCAAGGUGUUCAGCAGACCGAUGCGCGUUGUCGUGAAAUGAACGAAUUACCUCUUUCGCUGGAAUAACUCGGCGAGUAGAGUUUCGUGUUAGCGUUCAUUCCAUUUUAAUCGUUCAAGUCUUUAUAACUCUUCAGAAAAAGUAACUCAGCAGCAGAAUUUGAGACCGUCUUUUAUAAAAGUCAAGAGACUCUGAUGAUCGAAUUCGGACCAACGAAGAACCUGGAAACUUGGUUCAUCGUUGUCAUUAGCUGAUGAUGAAGAAGCGUAGGAAAUGAGUUUUAGAAAGCUUGAUCCAAGUAAUGCAGCUGACUACAUCCUUCGCAGUAUGAAAAACAUUUCUAAAAAAUAUCAAACCAUGACGAAACGUUGCUAUUCGCCUCCAUUUGAUAGAGUUAACUCAUACCGUUCACGGUUUGUCCAUAACGAAAUCGGAAUACUUGGCUUGUUAUCAGCAUUACGCAUAUAUAUUAUAGAUGGCUCGAAGAUGUCAAUGAUGAAACCGACGCGACGGCGCCAGUGACGAGUCAUUAGCAAAGUUCAAUUGGGGUUGCAUUGAACCCAAUUUCUCGACAGUAUUUGCUCGCGCUCUGGGUGCCGGAGGUUUGACCCCUCGUUAAUCACCAAAGGCCAACUCAGAGACCUACCAGACGACGCGGACAAGCUGUGUAGUUGACCGCAGAGACUGACCGCUUUCUGAGGCUUCUACUGAGAUCGAUGCUAGCAGCUCUAGCCAAAAAGGAGCCGCCAUAAGAUCCUCCUGGUACCGAAAAAUUCACCACCGUCGGAACCAAUUUCCCAACGAAGAUCUGGAGACAGCUUCAAAGCUGAUGUAUACUCAGAAUGUACCUCCAAGGCAAAAGACGACGCGGCUAGAGAUGGAGUAAGGUGAUCAGUGACUUCGGGCAAAAAUCAUUGUUGUCAUCACCAAGUGUAAUGUGUGCCUGCAAAUUCUUCAGUUUUGAUUCGCGGUAAGCAAAUAUUCACCGGUAUCCAGCUGGCCAGUCGAGAAUCAGGAAUUACUUUCGCCUUGCCCAGAAGCGCCGACAGACCCUUUUUCAUUCUCUGACUUCCUCCAACGCUGGAGGUGGUGGACCGCAAAACCAACAAACGAUAUGCGCUGCCCGAGAUAUGCUUAUGAUGUCGACGUCCCGAGUCUGGCUACGCCGACACCCCUUAUUCGGCUACUUUUGGGUGGCCACAACAAUUACCAAUUCAGAAAGAACACCAUAUCGAGUGAAAAGUGAACAUGAAGGGCUGCUGCCGUUGGAACCGAAUCGGAUGACGAAUAAUAAAACGCAUUAAAAGUACAAGGCUGAAGGAAUUGAGGCUAGAUAAUGAGGGUAGGCAUACAGACCAAUAUUGAAGAUAAGUAAACCAAUUUAUUUCAAAAAAUACGUCAUCAGAUGUUCAAAAGCAUCAGCAGGCCGUAUGAUAAAUAACUUUUGAAGUAAGAGGUAAGGCAGGUUGUGAAGGGAGAACGGGAAAGCGGUAGGAGGGGUUAGAAAAUCACCCGGUAUCUCUUCCGCCACGGGGGCCAACAGAGGUGACGUAAUUACUGAGAUUAAUGUGGCCUUGAGCUUUUGGGAACUGAAGCUCUCCCGGCUUUUAUCUCUGGCGGUAUCAUCCGGCGCUCAGCUUGGUUUCUCCGCUGCUCCAGGGUUCGUUGGAAAGUAAUUCUGAAAAGAGAGAAGGACGAGGAGGAUAGAAACGGUUUAAAACAUCACUUGCUCGCCGAGAUUCAACCAUCGUACUCAUCAGGGCUUACAACGAGAAAAAAAAAUUAGUAGCCAGCUUUCCCGGAUAGCGUCGACCUGAGUUUCCUGUCGACACCUAGCUGCAGCCCUCGACAGUAGAGGAGGAGCCUUGGUGUCUCCGGGCUGGUUUCCUCCUUGCGCUUCGUUGGCCGUUGCCGCACAUUCAGCGCCAGCCUUCCCCAGACCCCUUUCUUUCUCCUCGGCAACGGCGUAACGCCGAGACAAUGAUAUCGCAGGAAGAGCUGUGCCCCACCGCUUUACAACUCCCGACGGGCCUCCGGAACCCGACUGAAAUUAAUAUCAUAAAUAAUGCACUCCCAUUUGACCUUACCUCGAGCCAAGGAGCAACAUGAAAGACAACUCGUAGAUUAUUUGUGGGCACCUCCGCAGGUUUUACGUUAUUAUUUUGUUGCUGGGUGAAAGAGCAGGCAUAAGGGUGGUCCACCAACUAAUCGAAUCAUUUCUUGGGUCUGGCAUGAUUGUUCCAACAGGAAAUUAACAGGAAAGAAUGACGAACGGUACUUGAGUGGAAUUAAGAUUUCUUCAUGGGGGUGGAUGUGCAUUAUCGCGGUAGGUUCUUAUCUUCGUUAUUGCCAGCUCUGACUAGGCAGUCGACAGGGAUUAGAGGGUGGUGCAGGAAAGGUGAGAGAGGGUUGUGAUACUACACGUGGAAAUCUACCUGUAGCUUCGUCUUCCGACGCCACAAAGACAAUGGGGCGAAUUAGCACCGCGUAUGUGCCAUAUCUUCUGUUUCAUCAGCAUUUGAGGGCGUUCAAAAGCACUACGGGGGUGAGUGGCGCCGCGCUACUUCUGCUGCUUUGUACCAUCAAGAUGAUUAUAUUGCCAUUCAGAAGUGAAACGCAACCCGUUUCGUCGCAGACUCCGCGAGGAUAGUCCGCUUCUCUCUAUCUCUCUCUCUUCGCUCGUGCAAUUUCACCCCGUAGAUUCUGCGAAUUUUCAACCCAAUACGAGUGUACGAUCUGCUACAGCACGGAGUGGCAAAGAGGAAAAAAACAGUUUUCCCGAUUAAUCUGACCGCGUUUUUCGACCUUCCUCGUCGCUUUGUCUUCCACUGGGACUUGGGUAUAUCUCGCAUUUAUCUCUUCGGCCGACUCGGUGGUCGCGGUCGGGCGGCACUGGCGCUCAUUAAGUUUUUGGUUGAAUGCCAGGCGAAGCCGCGACGCGGAGAUCUCGGGAUAACCGUGAUCUCAAAGGGUUAGUCGUUGGACGUCGCCCCACGGCAAGCCCAGGCUAAGAGUUACGCUAAGAGGGUCGGGCGUUCGGGCGGGUAGUGAAGGGAAACGAGAGAGAGGGAUAGGGAUCACCCGGGAAAGAAGAACGGGAAGAAGCGACGAGGACGAGAUGCCCGAGUGGCCCACGGGCGGCGGCACUUAAUGGAAUUAAAAUUAGGAACGCAGAGACCGAGACGGAGAUCCAGGAAAGAGAAUAGGUACGGUGAUGAAGAAUUGUGAAAUUUUCAACCGGCUGGAGAGGCAAGCCUCAGUGGAUGGAGGCGAGGUUUAAUGCUAAAUGCGAUGAACGAUAAUUCCUCUCAAUUAUCCUGGAACCUCGAGACAAGAUUUUGAAAACCCUUGUACGCAGAGCGACUGAAAAAAUCCUCAAUGCACUCCGAGUAUUUCCUGCGAUAAACUCAACGAACCAUUCUGUGAAAAGAAUUCUUUCAUUGCAAACAUCAAAACUAGAAGAAGUUAACGAUUUUCAUGCUUUGGAUCUUCGUUGGUGUAUUUCAAACGAUGCUAUACGACUGGGGGUGUGAAGUUGAGCAGAAUUUUCGGAAGCUCGCCUGAUGGACAUUCCGUGAUGAAAGAGUCGUCAUGACGCAGCUACGAACUUAUUCGACCUGAUUUUUGUGAAAUUUGAUGAUCAUUAGAGAUUCAUAAGAAAAUCCCGUUUGUAUUGAAACGAAACGCAUUUGUUGACUAGAUACUAAAAACAAUAAAUGUUGGAUCUGUGUUAUGUUCGAUGUGUGCAUAGUUCAUUGCACAUAAUGAUUACAAUGAUAUAUACGGAUAUCUUACAAUUAAAUAAUAUAGUGCAUCUACAUCGUAUUCAUGGAUAGGUUCCGAGUGACUCAGUAUUUUCUUGAUAUCCGAACGAAAAGGGUUUCCUGCAUAUAGAAUCUUUUAUUUAUCUAUAAUAAACGUAUCGUUUGUAUCUACUGUCACUUGUGUCGCCGGUCAAUGGCACACGUGAUUUAUUCGGAAUGGUAACUCGUUCCACUUUCAAGUACAAGAUAUGAAGUUGGCCACUGGAAACCUAUGAUUACUCGUUUCUAUACGUACUUUUGACAAUAUAUCAUGUAAUAAUGUGAACGUAAGAACAAUAAACAAGCACUUAUUUUUGUGAUCUACA